AAUAUCCCAAAUUUUCCGGAUA
rnacentral:snRNA from 1 species